GACGAACGCUGGCGGCGUGCUUAACACAUGCAAGUCGAACGAUGAAAGCGGGAGCUUGCUCCUGCUGGAUUAGUGGCGAACGGGUGAGUAACACGCGAGUAACCUGCCCUUGACUCUGGGAUAAGCGUUGGAAACGACGUCUAAUACCGGAUACGAGCUGCGAUCGCAUGGUCUGCAGCUGGAAAGAACUUCGGUCAACGGAUGGACUCGCGGCCUAUCAGCUAGUUGGUGAGGUAAUGGCUCACCAAGGCGACGACGGGUAGCCGGCCUGAGAGGGGGACCGGCCACACUGGGACUGAGGCACGGCCCAGACUCCUACGGGAGGCAGCAGGGGGGAAUAUUGCACAAUGGGCGCAAGCCUGAUGCAGCAACGCCGCGUGAGGGACGACGGCCUUCGGGUUGUAAACCUCUUUUAGCAGGGAAGAAGCGAAAGUGACGGUACCUGCAGAAAAAGCACCGGCUAACUACGUGCCAGCAGCCGCGGUAAUAC
rnacentral:rRNA from 1 species